AGACCAACUUACCUCGCUGUAGUCGCCCUUCCUCGAGUCGAAUCCUCAUUUCCUCUCGCCUCUCUUUUCUUCUCUCGACCUAAUCAUUUCAGUCUCUCUCUUUCUUCUCUGGCCUCUCGGCCUCUCUUUCUUCUCUUCGAUAAUCUUCUCAGUUUUCUCUUCGUCAUCGAGAAUUCGAGAUCAUCAAGGAGAUUGCCAAGGACUGGAAGGAUCGUCAGUCCUCUUAGUUUUCUCUUCGUCUCUGGUCUCCGCCGCCACUCCGGUCAUCUAGGCCCUCAAAGAGCUAGAUCGCGACCGCAAGGUGUAGAACAUCAAGCACAGCGGCAAGUUGACAAUGAGGACCUGAGCGGGACCGUCGCUUUACCCGCACCUUUAUUCUUCUUCAUAUUCUGCAGAUCCAGAGCCUUUCUCUCAAGUACUCUCUCUAUCUCUAUAUCUGUAUAUAUCUAUAGAUCUUUCUACCUCUGUUCGAUUCUAAUUGAUAUUAAUAGUUUUGUAAUUUGUAAAAACUGAGAUGAAGGUGUUUGCUGCAGAUCCAGCCAUAUUGCUGAAGACAUCAAGCAGCCCCGGUUUCUGGAACUAUUUGUAACUGUUGUUUUGAAGCUGUGAGUGAGCUGCAGAAUUUGCUUUUGAUUUUAGAGUUUCUCUGGCCAGCUCUGCUUCUACCUGUUGCCGGUAACAAGAUUUACAGUCAGCAAGAUAGAUCAAAAAUGCCACUUGAGCUUAGUAGUGCUCUCUCAAUUGAGCGUGAACCAGUUGAUGAUCCUGAAAUUCGUGCUGAAGUCCUGGAGGCAAUAUACAUGAUCACAUUACAGGUCGACUAACUAACAUUUCGUCUGAGUUCUUUCUAAGUGUGCUCUACAUGCAGUAAUUUAUAUCUUGACUUGUUUAUUUAAUGGAUGGUAUAUGGCUGCAUGCUUUCAAAGUUAAAAAUUGAUAUCAAGGAAUGUACGUGAUUCAAUAACAAAGGCAGAUAUUUUAGCAUCCAGCAUAUUUAGCAUUCAAAGUUCAUUUUCCAAGGCAGAAAUUUUAUCAUAGUGAGAUCUCAUCUAGCAUCAUCAUUCAUCAGAUCAUAAUGCUCAAAAGAAAUCAUAUUUUCUUUUGGCCAAAAGUAAAAAGAUAUCUACAAAAAGAAAAUGUGAAUGUACUCAUAGAGAGAUGAAGUAACAUCUUGCAUGCCAUGUUAACGAAAAAUAAAAUAGGACAGAAAGAGGGGGGAGGGAAAAAGAUAAUAUUUUACUAAUCUAUUACGUUCUUUUAACUCAUAAACUAAACUGUGAUAGAAAGGCAGCCUCAUGCCUCAAAAAGUUGCAUCAAAUAUUGAUCCACAGGAUACUGCUUUAGUGUACUGAAUCUGAAGCAAAAACACAUCUAUGCUAAUUUGGGCUUUUUCUUUGUAUAUCUGUUCGGCUUUUGCAGGUGAAAAAUGAUGCAAGCACUAAUGGUUUUCGUUUUUGUUACUGGUAAGUUGUUUAGUAUUCAAUCAGUUUGCUCAACUUAUCUAAUCUCAACUCAUUAUCCACUCAAGUUCAGUCUGAUGUAAUCUUGCAAGUUGUAAUGCAGGCCUUGCUAACUCUAUUUAUAGAUUAUGGUUCAGCAGCAAUGGGACAGAACCCAACCAAGGCUGAGCUCUAAGAUAUGAUCAAUGAAGUGGACUGUUAAUGGAUUUUUAACUUUCAAGCAUUCUAUUUGAUUAAUUGUAAUCUAUAUAUGUUGGUCCUUGUAGAUAAUCAUUUUUGCUAGAUUUUGGAUCUAGGUUUUGCUGGCUGUUGUUGGUUUGUGUUGAAUUACUACUAGUUAUAAGUUA